CAAUAGCGUAUAUUAAAGUUGUUGCGGUUAAAAAGCUCGUAGUUGGAUUUCUGCUGAGAACGACCGGUCCGCCCUUUGGGUGUGUAUCUGGCUCUUUCUUGGCAUCUUCUUGGUGAACGUUGCUGCACUUGACUGUGUGGAGCGCUACCCAGGACUUUUACUUUGAGGAAAUUAGAGUGUUUCAAGCAGGCAUACGCCUUGAAUACAUUAGCAUGGAAUAAUAAGAUAGGACCUCGGUUCUAUUUUGUUGGUUUCUAGAGCUGAGGUAAUGAUUAAUAGGGAUAGUUGGGGGCAUUCGUAUUUAACUGUCAGAGGUGAAAUUCUUGGAUUUGUUAAAGACGGACUGCUGCGAAAGCAUUUGCCAAGGAUGUUUUCAUUG
rnacentral:rRNA from 1 species